CUGCCCUAUGCAGGGGGAUAACCCGGAGAAAUCCGGCCUAAUACCGCGUAACACCUUUUGGGAGCAUUCCCGGGAGGUUAAAGGAGAGAUCCGGCAUAGGAUGGACAUGCGUCGCAUUAGGUAGACGGCGGGGUAACGGCCCACCGUGCCGACGAUGCGUAGGGGUUCUGAGAGGAAGGCCCCCCACACUGGUACUGAGACACGGACCAGACUCCUACGGGAGGCAGCAGUGAGGAAUAUUGGUCAAUGGCCGAGAGGCUGAACCAGCCAAGUCGCGUGAGGGAAGAAUGUCCUAAGGAUUGUAAACCUCUUUUGUCGGGGAGCAAAAAGGCUCUGCGGAGUCGUAUUGAGAGUACCCGAAGAAAAAGCAUCGGCUAACUCCGUGCCAGCAGCCGCGGUAAUACGGAGGAUGCGAGCGUUAUCCGGAUUUAUUGGGUUUAAAGGGUGCGCAGGCGGCGUGUCAAGCAAGCGGUAAAAUAGCGGGGCUCAACCCCGUCGAGCCGUUUGGACUGGCGCGCUUGAGUUCAGGCGAGGUAGGCGGAAUUCGUGGUGUAGCGGUGAAAUGCAUAGAUAUCACGAAGAACUCCGAUUGCGAAGGCAGCUUACCAGUCUGCGACUGACGCUCAGGCACGAAAGUGUGGGUAUCGAACAGGAUUAGAUACCCUGGUAGUCCACACAGUAAACGAUGA
rnacentral:rRNA from 1 species